UACGAAGGGGGCUAGCGUUGUUCGGAUUUACUGGGCGUAAAGCGCACGUAGGCGGAUUGGUCAGUUAGGUGUGAAAUCCUGGAGCUCAACUCCAGAACUGCCUUUAAUACUGCCAGUCUCGAGUCCGGAAGAGGUAAGUGGAACUCCUAGUGUAGAGGUGGAAUUCGUAGAUAUUAGGAAGAACACCAGUGGCGAAGGCGGCUUACUGGUCCGGUACUGACGCUGAGGUGCGAAAGCGUGGGGAGCGAACAGG
rnacentral:rRNA from 1 species